rnacentral:misc_RNA from 1 species
CGGGUGAUGAUGUUCGUUGUUUAAAUGCUGGCUAUUGCUUACAGUCCUAUUAAGCUUAGAAUUCAAGUCAUUUUGCUCCAUAAUGCAUAAAGCUAAUGUUGGUAGUCUCUUUGGUGGUGGGCCCCGUGUUUGCUAGCAUGCCUGUUCUGCAUCUUUAUUUUUUUGAAGAAAACUGUUGUUAAAUUUUUACAAAUCUAUGUGGAUGUGCAGAGCAAUUCUCUUGUCAGGCCAUCUGGUACAAUAGAUAGAGAUAGAGAAAUGUUAAGGCUUGCAAAUGGUGGUGUAGUUCAAGGUGAUGAUCGAACUUUGUCAAUUGGUGUUGAUGGUUGGGAAAAGACAAAAAUGAAGAAGAAGCGCUCUGUGAUAAAGCCAGAUGUUUCUCCAAGUUUAGUGCCAACUAAACUCACUGAUGGCUAUCGGGAGCCCAAACAGGGAAUGCAGCAACGACCUGUUACUGAGGCUCGAUCAAGGUUAAAUAGUGACUCCCAUGGGUUCAGGUAUGCCUUCUUGAAGUGCUAUUAUUCCUUCUCCUGCCUGUUCUGACUUUUGUACUGGUGGCUUAACUUAAUUAACCUCUUUAAAUGUAUCGAUAAUUUUUUGGCUAUUGCUUUUAAUUACCAUUUUUCCAUAAUUGUUAUAUUUAUUCUUUUCUUGGACUCAGCAAUACUUAACUCUUUAUUGGCUAUGAUUGCCCUCUCUAUUGCUAGAAUCCUUUGCUAUGUUAAAAUAUGAGUUUUGGGUGCUACAUGAUGUUACUGACAUUGUUGUUAAAGCUGCAAGUUGACUUUUAUGAUUUUGGGAGUUAGAAACAUAUAAACAAUUCGAAAUAUUUACAAAAUUGGAAUGAAGUAAAAUUGAGUUAAAAUUUUGAUUUUGAAUAGUAAGACGGGUACAAUUUUAUCUAUUUGAAAAAUGUUUAUAAUUUACAAUAUUUCCCUUUCAUGUUUGGAAGUCAUUAACAUUUGUUUUCUUUGAUAUCAUUUUCUAGUUCUUAAGUUUUAUAUUAGAUUACUUUUUUUCAUUGGGGCCCAGGUUUCUUUCUUAUGCAACUGUAGCACUUAUUAAUUGCAUGUAUGUUGA